GCAUCUGAUCUCAGUUGGUUAGAGUGUGGCACUGAUAAUGCCAACGUUGCAGGUCCGAGCCCCAUAUGGGACAAGUGCA